UACGAAGGGGGCUAGCGUUGUUCGGAAUUACUGGGCGUAAAGGGCGCGUAGGCGGUGUGUCAAGUCAGGCGUGAAAGCCCCGGGCUCAACCUGGGAACAGCGCUUGAGACUGGCACGCUCGAGUUCGGGAGAGGAUGGUGGAAUUCCCAGUGUAGAGGUGAAAUUCGUAGAUAUUGGGAAGAACACCAAUGGCGAAGGCAGCUCUCUGGGACGGUACUGACGCUGAGACGCGAAAGCGUGGGGAGCGAACAGG
rnacentral:rRNA from 1 species